rnacentral:tRNA from 1 species
GUUUAAAUAGUUUAAUUCAAAAUUUAAUAUUGAAGAUAUUAAGAUAAUAUUUAAUAUUGAAGA